rnacentral:rRNA from 1 species
CAGCCGCCACGGUAAUACGAAGGGGGCUAGCGUUGUUCGGAUUAACUGGGCGUAAAGGGCGCGUAGGCGGGUUUUUAAGUCAGAGGUGAAAUCCCAAGGCUCAACCUUGGAACUGCCUUUGAUACUGGAAGUCUUGAGUCCGGGAGAGGUGAGUGGAACUGCGAGUGUAGAGGUGAAAUUCGUAGAUAUUCGCAAGAACAUCAGUGGCGAAGGCGGCCAUCUGGGACAACACUGACGCUGAGGUGCGAAAGCGUGGGGAGCAAACAGGAUUAGAUACCCCGGUAGUCCCUGUCUCUUAUAA